rnacentral:lncRNA from 1 species
CACGUUGGAAACCCUGAGGGGCUCCAGGUGGUAUCUGCCUUGUGCAGAAUGCUGCUGGAGCUGCAGGACAUUUUACAUCAGUGCAUCAGAGCCAGGAGGAGGGAGGGGGUGCCUGGAACACUCGUGUGCUGUGGGGCAGGGACACAGGAGGGGCUCUCUCAUUCCUACAGGCAAGCUCCCUCAGAAGGGUGAGGCUGGGGAGUGGUAUUCCACAUGGAGCUGCUGCUUUGUGGCUCUCCUUGGGGCUCCCAGCUCUGCACAGAUCCAUCCCCUCUGCUGUGGUGAGGUCCUGAUUUGGGCUGCAGCCAGGAUGGUCCCCUCCUACCUCGGGAGAAUAUCCACAGCUUAAUUGUCAGCUCUGUGCUCAAGAGACCUGCCAAAGGAAAGCUCUGUACCUGUCAAUGACUUGUGAAGAGCCAUUCCUCAUUUCUGAGAUCCCUGCCAGGAAUGGGAGAGUUUCCAAGAGUUUCUAAGUUCCUCGGACAAUCAGAAAAUGCCCCAAGCUCCUUCUGCAAUCGUGAGUAUGGAUAUUUAUUUCUCAGCUUGGAUUUACUGACUGACUGACUGAGACAUUCUGGCUGCUGCAGUGGCACUUUGAGAAGCUGGGGUGUUUGUAGGGAAC